rnacentral:rRNA from 1 species
UCCAGACUCCUACGGGAGGCAGCAGUGGGGAAUAUUGCACAAUGGGGGAAGCCCUGAUGCAGCGACGCCGCGUGAGUGAAGAAGUAUUUCGGUAUGUAAAGCUCUAUCAGCAGGGAAGAAAUAAAGUCCUUCGGACUUUGGACGGUACCUGACUAAGAAGCCCCGGCUAACUACGUGCCAGCAGCCGCGGUAAUACGUAGGGGGCAAGCGUUAUCCGGAUUUACUGGAUGUAAAGGGAGCGUAGACGGCUGUGCAAGUCUGAAGUGAAAGCCCGUGGCUCAACCGCGGAACUGCUUUGGAAACUGUAUAGCUUGAGUACUGGAGAGGCAGGCGGAAUUCCUAGUGUAGCGGUGAAAUGCGUAGAUAUUAGGAGGAACACCAGUGGCGAAGGCGGCCUGCUGGACAGAAACUGACGUUGAGGCUCGAAAGCGUGGGGAGCAAACAGGAUUAGAUACCCGUGUACA